rnacentral:rRNA from 1 species
UAAAGAAUUUGGCGGUAUUUUAGUCUAUUCAGAGGAACUUGUUUUUUAAUCGAUAAUCCACGAUGGACCUUACUUAAAUUUGUAUUCAGUUUAUAUACCGUCGUUAUUAGAAUAUUUUAUAAGAAUGUUAAUUUUCAUAAUUUUUUAAAUAAAAAUAUAUCAGAUCAAGGUGUAGCUUAUAUUUAAGUAUAAAUGGGUUACAAUAAAAUUAUUUAUAUGGAUAUAAAUUUGAAAUGUUUAUUAAAAGUGGAUUUGAUAGUAAAUUUAUAAAGAUUAAUAAAUUGAUUUAUUUUAGCUCUAAAAUAUGUACAUAUCGCCCGUCACUCUUAUUAUUAAGGUAAGAUAAGUCGUAACAUAGUAGAUGUACUGGAAAGUGUAUCUAGAAUGCAAUUUAAAACUUAUUAAGUAAAGUAUUUCAUUUACAUUGAAAAAGAUUUUGUGCAAAUCAAUAUAAAUUGAUUUAUAUUUUAUUUAUUAAUUGUUUUUUUUUAAAAAUUUUUUAUUAAAAAUAAUUAUAAAAAGAUUUGUUUUAGUAUUUUAUAAAUAAAAAAUAAUUUAAAUUAUAGUGUAAUAGUAUUGUAAAAAAAAAUUGAAAUAAUUUGAAAAAUUAUUAUUAUAAAAGAAAAUUU